rnacentral:lncRNA from 1 species
CUUUAGGAUCCUAGUCAGAAGGGCAGGCACGGCAGGCCUGUGGCGCAGGUGGCUGUCCCAGCCUCGGGAAUGUGCCGAGUAAUUUUCUUUUAAAUAUUAUUACUCAAAUGGCAACAGACAAUUUCAGGGCUCUGGCGGAGAAUCUGAGGACCGCGGAGACGCAAGCCCGACCGGGCAACCCCUGGGGCCUCCAGGCCGGAGAGGGGACCGCCUCUGGGAGCCAGGAGUCCCGGCCGGGGACCGGGUGACUCGGGGCUCUCGGGCUGCUCCGGGGGCCUGGAGGCGCGAGGCCCCGGGCCGCAGCGCAGCCCCAGCCCGGCCCGCCAGCAGGUGGCGCUGUGCGCGGUCCUCAGACGCUGCGCGCCCAGGCGUGGGACACCGCGAGCAGUCCGACCCCAGGCCCGGCGCGGCCCAGACAGUGUUCCCAGGGGCUCCCGCCGGCGGCACGGCAGUGAUUCCCCAGGCCCACCCCGUCCGGCCGGAGGCUGCGUGGGCCGGGAAGAGAAUCAGCAUCACUGUGGAGUGAGGGGCCUCUGCCAGCCAAUCGUGCUGACAUGAAAACACACAAAACCGCCAUCCACAGAUGUGCACACACGCACGCCUCGCCAACACAGCUUCAGCUCAUUUGCAAAACCCAAAGCUGCUUGCAGGUGAGCUGGUGAACGAGAAGCAGGAAGAGGAAGCUCUUGAGGAAACAGUCAGCUCCGCCCCUGCGAGAAUGAGGCCGAACCCAAACCGCAGUGGAAAUGUCAGCACUGAGGAGGCGCAUCGCGGCUUGGCUUGUGGUGGACCCACUGCAUUUAUUGUAACUGGGUAACCCGAGUCUGUCCUGUCCCCAGUCCCCAGCACCACUGCCCCAUUCUAACAGGGUCAGCCAAGUUAAUUCUGCUAUGGAAAAGUGAAAGGAAAAGAGACACCAUAUUAAAGAAUCUUACCACAGUGAUAUAUGCACACCCAUGUUCAUAGCGGCACAGUGCAUAAUAGCUAAAGCUUGGAAACAGCCCAAGUGCCCGUCAACUGGAAACUAGAUAAAGAAGAUGUGGGUUUUUUUAUAAAAUGGAGUACUACUCAGCCAAAGGAAUGAGAAACUAGAGGCAUUUUAUAGCUAAAUGGAUGCAUAUUGAGGCCAUCCUCUUAAGUGAAAUAAAUAGGACACACACACGUGUAAAUACCGAAUCGUUUCUCUAGUGUGAGAAACUGAAACUGUAAUUAAGGAUUAAAAUGCUUAAAAUGAAUAAUGGAUAAUUUGAAAUAAGAAGAAAAGGUCCAAAGGGGUUGGGGAAGUAGGAGGGGUAAGGGAAAGGAAAAAUGAGAAAUGGAAAAAAUGGAAACAAAGUCUUUGUAAAUAGGGAAGGGUGGAGGGGUGCAGGGAGGACAGGGAAUGGGGAAAAAAUAAGAACCAAGAUGCAUCAUGCACAGGUACAAGCACCCAAUGAUAAAUGUAAAUGUAUUGUAUACCUAAAAUGUACCAAUAAAAGAAUUUAAGCAAAAAAAGACUAUAUUUACUACAAUAACAGAAGGAAAGCCCAGGAACUAAGGGUGUAUGAAGUUGAAAGAGAAAGCCGGAUCUGGGAGUCACACCCAUGCUCCCAGCAUUUGGGAGGCUGAGGCAGGAGGACUGUGUCAAGGUUGAGGCCAGCCUGGGCUGCAUAGUGAGACCCUGUUGAGAGAGUGUGUGCAGUGAAGUAAUUCAGUAUCUGACAGAAUAUAAUGCCCUGCUCAGCUGGUGUGUGCCAAGGUCCAAGGACAUGAUGUCUUUCUACUUCUGUGCCAAAAUAUAAACACACAAGGAUGCUGGAGAUCCCCAUAGUCAGGUUCCAGUAGCCACCUGCCCAGUGUGUGAUGCAGGCCUGAGAAAAAGAAUACACUAAGAGACAGAACUAGGAGAGAAAGCGGGGCAGGAUGACCAACGCUGGUGCAACCGACAAAGGCCUGGCCAGUCCCAGGCGCUGACUUUUAUUGGCAAUCAGUUGGGGUAAAGGUGAUGUGUGGUUUCUAUGGAAAUUAAUGUAAACAAGGCUCAUAAAGAACAAGAUGAGUCAGGAACAGAAUAGACAAAAUAUAUGGUUGUAAUUAGAACACUGUCCUAGUCUGAAGGUUUAAAUUGUGGGAACAGAAUUUGGGUGUGAGAUACUUUGACCUUGGCAUGUAGGCUUCGGCCAGACACUCCUAUAAACAAGCCAGUCAUGGGGUUAACUCUUCACUGCCUGCCUUGGGCGUGAUCAAUAUUACAGUCCUCUGCACAAGGAUUUUAGAAAGUCUCACCCAUCCAUCUGAG